UAGCUCAAUGGUUAAGAGCACUGACUGUCCUUCCAGAGGUCCUGAGUUCAAAUCUCAG
rnacentral:tRNA from 1 species